CCAGCCAGAAGCGCUCUGUCUCCUCACCUGUUGCGGCCUCCGCCUUCGUUUAGCUUGCUGGAGAUAACCCCGAAGCAAGACCGCGGUAUCUCGACUGACCGUGGGCUUGUUAUCCCCGAGGCAGUGAUAUAGUCGAAACGCUCGCAUUUAAGUUGCCACAGUACUUUUCUUAGAUGCUGGAUGGAAAUGUGAACACUGGAAAAAACAACAACUCUCAUAUAUCAUCUCACUUGCUCAGCCUCUCUCUGCAUAUCAAUGUUCAGUCCUGCACAUUGGCAAUAGAAAUCAGAACAUCAAAUAUAUGCUGGCUGGAAAUGAUCUAAAAGUUGACCCACACUCUGUCAAGGACCUAGGAGUACUCAUUUCAAAAGAUCUAAGUCCCAGAGCUCAUUGUAACAUCAUUGCAAAAAAGGCAUUAAGAGUUGUCAAGGU